GGGACUGAGACACGGCCCAAACUCCUACGGGAGGCAGCAGUAGGGAAUCUUCCACAAUGGACGCAAGUCUGAUGGAGCAACGCCGCGUGAGUGAAGAAGGGUUUCGGCUCGUAAAGCUCUGUUGGUAGUGAAGAAAGAUAGAGGUAGUAACUGGCCUUUAUUUGACGGUAAUUACCUAGAAAGUCACGGCUAACUACGUGCCAGCAGCCGCGGUAAUACGUAGGUGGCAAGCGUUGUCCGGAUUUAUUGGGCGUAAAGCGAGUGCAGGCGGUUCAAUAAGUCUGAUGUGAAAGCCUUCGGCUCAACCGGAGAAUUGCAUCAGAAACUGUUGAACUUGAGUGCAGAAGAGGAGAGUGGAACUCCAUGUGUAGCGGUGGAAUGCGUAGAUAUAUGGAAGAACACCAGUGGCGAAGGCGGCUCUCUGGUCUGCAACUGACGCUGAGGCUCGAAAGCAUGGGUAGCGAACAGGAUUAGAUACCCUGGUAGUCCAUGCCGUAAACGAUGAGUGGUUAGUGUUGGGAGGUUUCCGCCUCUCA
rnacentral:rRNA from 1 species